rnacentral:rRNA from 1 species
ACACCUAGUGUUGCUUC